rnacentral:rRNA from 1 species
UACGGGGGGAGCAAGCGUUGUUCGGAUUUACUGGGCGUAAAGGGCGCGUAGGCGGUCAGCACAAGUCAGUUGUGAAAUCUCCGGGCUUAACUCGGAAAGGUCAACUGAUACUGUGCGACUAGAGUGCAGAAGGGCAACUGGAAUUCUCGGUGUAGCGGUGAAAUGCGUAGAGAUCAUGAGGAAGACCAGUGGCGAAGGCGGGUCUCUGGACAGUUCCUGACACUGAGACACGAAGGCCAGGGGAGCAAACGGG